GUUUCAGUCAAGAAUUCACUCAUUCGGGGAUCAAGUCUGCUGCUGUCUCUGCUCCAGUCCCAGAUGGAUGAUGGUCUGAGUCACAGAAAAGGUGUGGGCUCAUCUCAGAGUCUCCCAAUGAACCAGGAGCUCACUGAGUGACUGGACUGACUGGACAGAGAGUUUCUGAAAGCUGCCUUCUUCUCUCCCAGAGCUGACAUUACAGACAAGUUCUUCAGCAGGCAACCUCUGUGCCAGGAGGAUCCCUCACCAGGCAUGCCCACGGGGACAUCCAAGAGUCCCUCUUCUUGAACAUGGGAGAAUCUAAGGGAAACAACGGGUCAAAUGCUGGACCAGCAGUCUGCACAGAGGACUGAGUUCAGCUCCUUGGUUCAUACCCUCUUGCUGUGUGAUAAUGAUCAGGUCUCUUUAUCUUUUUCUACAAAAUUGUCUCUUCCUCUAGAAUAACGAAGUCAUCAGACUAGAUCAGGAUUUGUGCAUAUAUACUUUUAGCUACAUAAGGUUAUCUCCAGAGGUCAUUCUGAUGCCAAUAUGGGCACAGUAGAAGCACAUGCAUUUUUCCUUUUGUGUUACAACCCCUCUGUCUGAGAUAUCUUGUGUCCCUUGAUGCACUGCUGUGAAACUCCUGAACAAGAAACUUAUAUAUUUUUAA